UUACAGCCAUAUCACAUUGAAACACCGGUUCUCAUACGAUCAUUGAAGUUAAGUAAUGUCAAGUAUGGUCAGUACCGAGAUGGGUAACCGCUUGGGAAUACCAGGUGUUGUAAG